rnacentral:rRNA from 1 species
AACACCAGCUUGUUCUACCGGAUCUGUGGCGAACGGGCGAGUAACACAUGAGCAACCUGCCCCUGACUCUGGAAUAAGCGCUGGAAACGGCGUCUAAUACUGGAUACGAGAAGGGUCCGCAUGGGCACUUUCUGGAAAGUUUUUCGGUUGGGGAUGGGCUCGCGGCCUAUCAGCUUGUUGUGAGGUAAUGGCUCACCAAUGCGACUACCGGUAGCCCGUCUGAUAGGGCACCCGGACACACUGUGACUGAGACUCGGCCCAAACUCCUACCGGAGGCAGUAGUGGGGAAUAUUG